rnacentral:rRNA from 1 species
UACGGAGGGUGCGAGCGUUGUCCGGAAUCAUUGGGCGUAAAGAGCGCGCAGGCGGUCGUUCAAGUCGAGUGUGAAAGCCCCCGGCUCAACUGGGGAGGGUCACUCGAUACUGAUCGACUGGAAGGCAGGAGAGGGGAAGCGGAAUUCCCGGUGUAGUGGUGAAAUGCGUAGAGAUCGGGUGGAACACCAGUGGCGAAGGCGGCAAGUCCUGGCCCUGACCUGACGCUGAGGCGCGAGAGCGUGGGGAGCAAACGGGG